rnacentral:rRNA from 1 species
UUUUCUGCCACCGAAUACAUUAGCAUGGGAUAAUGGAAUAGGACCCUGUCCUCCUAUUUUCAGUUGGUUUUGGCAGCGCGAGGACUAGGGUAAUGAUUAAUAGGGAUAGUUGGGGGCAUUAAUAUUUAAUUGUCAGAGGUGAAAUUCUUGGAUUUAUGAAAGAUUAACUUCUGCGAAAGCAUCUGCCAAGGAUGUUUUCAUUAAUCAAGAACGAAAGUUAGGGGAUCGAAGACGAUCAGAUACCGUCGUAGUCUUAACCAUAAACGAUGCCGACCAGCGAUUAGGAGACGUUGAAUACAAAACACCACCAUCGGCGCGGUCGUCCUUGGCGUUCGUGUUCACGCACGAGCGCGAGGGCGGUUUAGCCCGGUGGCACCGGUGAAUGACUCCCUA